rnacentral:rRNA from 1 species
GAUGAACGCUGGCGGUAUGCUUAACACAUGCAAGUCGAACGGACGCUUCGGAGUUAGUGGCGGAUGGGGGAGGAACGCGUGAGAAUCUGGCUUUGGGUUCGGGAAAAUAAUUGGAAACGGGGGCUAAUACAGGAAGUGCCGAGAGGUAAAAGAGAAAUUGCCUGAAGAUGAGCUCGCGUCUGAUUAGCUAGUUGGUGAGGUAAAGGCCCGCCAAGGCAGCGAUAAGUAGCCGGUCUGAGAGGAUGACCAGCCACACUGGGUCUGGGACACGGCCGAGACUCCUACGGGAGGAAGCAGUGAGGAAUGUUCCGGCAUGGGCGAAAGCGUGACGGAGCACUACCGCGUGUGGAAAGAAGGCUCUUGGGUUGUAAACCUGUUUUCUUAGGGAAGACCGAACUGACGGUACCUAAAGAAUCAGCAUCGGCUAACUCCGUG